AGGACGAACGCUGGCGGCGUGCUUAACACAUGCAAGUCGAACGAAGCGGCAGUGAAGGAGGCUUCGGCCAAUGGAACUGUCGACUUAGUGGCGGACGGGUGAGUAACGCGUGAGCAACCUGCCUCUCAGAGGGGGAUAACGUUUGGAAACGAACGCUAAUACCGCAUGACAUAGCGGAGCCGCAUGACUCUGCUAUCAAAGGAGCAAUCCGCUGAGAGAUGGGCUCGCGUCCGAUUAGAUAGUUGGUGGGGUAACGGCCUACCAAGUCGACGAUCGGUAGCCGGACUGAGAGGUUGAACGGCCACAUUGGGACUGAGACACGGCCCAGACUCCUACGGGAGGCAGCAGUGGGGAAUAUUGCACAAUGGGCGAAAGCCUGAUGCAGCAACGCCGCGUGAGGGAAGACGGUUUUCGGAUUGUAAACCUCUGUCCUUGGUGAAGAUAGUGACGGUAGCCGAGGAGGAAGCCACGGCUAACUACGUGCCAGCCGCCGC
rnacentral:rRNA from 1 species